rnacentral:rRNA from 1 species
GAUGAACGCUGGCGGCGUGCCUAAUACAUGCAAGUCGAGCGAACAGACGAGGAGCUUGCUCCUCUGACGUUAGCGGCGGACGGGUGAGUAACACGUGGAUAACCUACCUAUAAGACUGGGAUAACUUCGGGAAACCGGAGCUAAUACCGGAUAACAUCUUGAACCGCAUUGUUCAAUAGUGAAAGACGGUUUUGCUGUCACUUAUAGCUGGAUCCGCGCCGCAUUAGCUAGUUGGUAAGGUAACGGCUUACCAAGGCAACGAUGCGUAGCCGACCUGCGAGGGUGAUCGGCCACACUGGAACUGAGACACGGUCCAGACUCCUACGGGAGGCAGCAGUAGGGAAUCUUCCGCAAUGGGCGAAAGCCUGACGGAGCAACGCCGCGUGAGUGAUGAAGGUCUUCGGAUCGUAAAACUCUGUUAUUAGGGAAGAACAAAUGUGUAAGUAAAUAUGCACGUCUUGACGGUACCUAAUCAGAAAGCCACGGCUAACUACGUG